AAAUAUAAAUAAUAUAAAAUACAAAAAAACGAGUCCCAAACAUCGGGGUGUCACUAAGUCAUGAGCGUCUAAAACUAGAAACUAAGAUAUAUAAACUGAUUAACUGUCCAAAAGAAGAAAUGACAAAAGAAGUAGCAAGGUCAUGCGGACGCUGACAGCUACCUUGCAAUCUGCAUAGAUAUCCGGCCUGAAAUCAAUGAUCGUCACACUCUAACUCACCUGGAUCUGCACAUAAAGUGCAUGGUGUACUAUGAGUACUACCACCUCAGUAGUAACAGAAAUAACUAAAGAACUGAGCAGUAGUGACGAGCUAAGUAAAACAGUUCAAUUAUUUAUUUUCACAAUUAAAAGAUAAACCAGUAAAUUUUAUAACUCAGUAAAUUUCACAAAGAAACUAAACAGAUAAAUGCAGCAACAACAACAGUAGAUGCAACUUCACAGCAAUGUCACUCAAUCAACACUCAACACUCAACACUCAAUACUCAAUACACUCAACACUCUGCGCUCACUGGGGGUGUGUACAGACUCCGGAGGGGCUCCCAAAGCCGAAGCGCUAAGCACGGACAACUCACGUGCCAUCAUAUCAAUACCUGUAUUCGCACGGUCAACUCACGUGCUACGCGGAUAACUCACGUACUAUGGUAUCAACUCACGUGCCAUCAUACCAAUACCUGGAUCCGCACGGUCAACUCACGCGCAAUGGUAUCAAUACCUGGACCUGCACGGUCAACUCACAUGCGAUCGGAUAACUCACGCGCCAUGGUAUUAAUAUUCUCACAACCAGACCCUUGGCCUUACUCAAUCAUGUUCCUCACCAGCCUCACCGUAAUCAACAAUUAAGGGGACACAUCCCACAUCAAGUAUUACAGCAUAUUAGCAAGUAAUAGAGACUUAGGUAAAUGUUUGAGUAAAAAUAAUGAGCCUGAAUAAAACCUAAGCAUUAUCUCUAACAUGAAGGCAGAAAAGUUCAACAACAAGUACUUAUAAUAAUUCCUAUGUUUGAGUAAAAAUAAUAUGAGCAUGAAUAAAACCUAAGCAUUAUCUCUAACAUGAAGGAAGAAAAGUUCAACAACAAGUAAACACAUAAUCACAAAUAAUAGUUAUUAGGCCUCCUAGCCUCACGGGACGGACCAAGUCUCAAUCCCCCGCGGUGCAAACCCAUACAUCCGUCACCUAGCAUGCAUAUCACCACCAAACAAUCACAUGAUAUUACUUUCUUCGGGUUUAUACACUCAAAGCCAGAGUUAAAGCUGUUACUUACCUCAAUCACAUAAAAUCCUACUCCAGGAUGCCCUCGUCUCUGGACUCAGUCUCCAAAAGCUCCGAAUCUAACCAUAAUCAGAUUACUACUACCAACAUACUCUAAAGAAUCGAAUUCCACAAUAAAAACUAAAAAAUAUAAAAAUAAUCCGAAAUUGGCCAAAACUCGGCCCCUGAACCAUAUCUCAGAAUUAGUUUAAAAUGGUAGAAUAAUAAUC
rnacentral:lncRNA from 1 species